GGAGAGAUGGCCGAGUGGUUUAAGGCGCACGCCUGGAAAGUGUGUGUACCUGAAAGGGUACCGGGGGUUCGAAUCCCUCUCUCUCCG
rnacentral:tRNA from 1 species